rnacentral:rRNA from 1 species
UAAACGACUCUCGGCAACGGAUAUCUCGGCUCACGCAUCGAUGAAGAACGUAGCAAAAUGCGAUACUUGGUGUGAAUUGCAGAAUCCCGUGAACCAUCGAGUUUUUGAACGCAAGUUGCGCCCGAAACCAUUCGGUUGAGGGCACGUCUGCCUGGGCGUCACGC